UACGUAGGGUGCGAGCGUUAAUCGGAAUUACUGGGCGUAAAGCGUGCGCAGGCGGUUCGUUAAGUCAGCUGUGAAAGCCCCGGGCUCAACCUGGGAACUGCGGUUGAAACUGGCGAACUAGAAUCUGGCAGAGGGGGGUGGAAUUCCACGUGUAGCAGUGAAAUGCGUAGAGAUGUGGAAGAACACCGAUGGCGAAGGCAGCCCCCUGGGCUAAGAUUGACGCUCAGGCACGAAAGCGUGGGGAGCAAACAGG
rnacentral:rRNA from 1 species